rnacentral:lncRNA from 1 species
UUCCUGUCAUGGCUCUUCGAUGAUGCUUUAAUUAGCGAAAGGUGUCGAAGAUACUCCUCUCUUCGAUCUCCAUCAAAAUCUGCACACGGAGAGCAGAAAGAGGAAUAUAGGAGUCAUACCUACUAUAGCUGUUCGGCUUUGGACUCCAUCGUCGAGAUGAAGCUUACUUAUUGGUGAUUGACCGACUUGACUUGGUCAGAACUUCACUUUUCUUAUGCUUCUUUUUUUGAUCUUUUUUUUCUAUCUGGCAUCGAUCAGAAACACCCUAAU